UACCGUUCAUACUUUUACCAUUUAGAUUUUUUUAAGAAAUUUAGAACUUAAUCUUUCACGGAAUCUUUUUGGUCUUUUUCGGAGUAACGAACCAAUGAUCUCUAAAUGCGCAGGUAUCCUUCUGUUGAUCAACAGCAUGCGGCAGCUGUUCAAAUCGUAAAAUUAUUUCCACAACUUAGUAAUACGCGAGUCACACCAACUGCUCCUGAUGAGUCAUUUUUCUUUUGGCGCAACGGAGGCAAGGAAAAGGGUGCUCAUACUGGCAUGAUAUUUCAUCGCAUCCGGAAUGUCAUCAAACAGCUACCUGCAGAAAAACAUAAAUAUAAUCGAGGAACUAUGCCUGUAGAAGAGUCCGUUUCAACUGAACUUGUAGAGCGGGCUCAAUUGCUCCGAGUAAUGCUUGCAUCGGCAUCAGUAGCAGAACAUAUUUGUGAUGAAAUGGACCGAUGCUUUCCAGUCCUCAAACUGUUAUUAAAAGAAAAGAAACCCGUUAAUGAUAUCUUGGAUAUGUUUCCACACCUGUGUUCAUAUGAAGGAUUGGUGGUAACAUGUUUAUUUUUUAUUAUUUACUAUUUCACUUUAUGGUAUUCACGGAACAUAUGAAUAUUUAUAUCAUAUCACUUUUUCUAGAUUCGUCAAAUGUUUGAGAGAUUGUAUCCUAACAGAACAGAAGGUCUCAAAAUCGAGGAUGUCUUCUCUCAGUGUCUAUCUUAUUCACCGUCCAGAUUCUCUAGAGUAGAAGAUGGUGAGAUAUAAUUUUUUUUAAUUUAGCCCAAAGGUCUGUCAUAAAAUUUUAAAUUUGUAAAACUAUUCACAGAUCACAUUCGAGGAUGCUUGAGAAUAAUUUCUCAUAUGCCAAUUCGCGGACAAAAAAGAACGCUGGUAGGCUGUCCAACUGUAGGCGAAGAACAUUCGGCUUCAAUUUUAAUUCGUUGGAUUGGGGAGUGCUUAGAUACAUACGUGGCAUCCCCCGCAACUGAUUCCAAACUACACAUGGUGUGCGUAGCAAGCCCGAUGAAAAGAGGAAAUUAUGCCGUCAUUUGUGAGAAAAAAGUUAUAUUCGAGACUAACAAUUCUAUUCAUGCAGUGGAAAUUUUAUUCAAAUGCCACGCAGUUCUCGGAGUGGAGGUGCCACCUAAUUUUAGAAUGUUUUGGGACUUUCUGGCAUGUGCCAUAUAUAAUAUAAUUCCGCACAGUCAGAGGACAACUGUGAAUAGACUCGUCCAAACUUUUAUUGAAGUUUCCCGCGCACGUAUUGACAACAAAUAAAAGGACAACUUUUUUAUACAAUACUUACUAAAAACCAUAAAAUUUAAUAAACAG